GCCCAGACUCCUACGGGAGGCAGCAGUGGGGGAUAUUGCACAAUGGGGGAAACCCUGAUGCAGCGACGCCGCGUGUGGGAAGACGGUCCUCUGGAUUGUAAACCACUGUCCCCAGGGACGAAAAUGACGGUACCUGGGGAGGAAGCUCCGGCUAACUACGUGCCAGCAGCCGCGGUAAUACGUAGGGAGCGAGCGUUGUCCGGAAUUACUGGGUGUAAAGGGAGCGUAGGCGGAAUGCCAAGUCAGCGGUAAAAUCGGGGGGCUCAACCUCGCUCCGCCGUUGAAACUGGCGUUCUUGAGUGGGCGAGAAGUAUGCGGAAUGCGUGGUGUAGCGGUGAAAUGCAUAGAUAUCACGCAGAACUCCGAUUGCGAAGGCAGCAUACCGGCGCCCAACUGACGCUGAAGCACGAAAGCGUGGGUAUCGAACAGGAUUAGAUACCCGCGUA
rnacentral:rRNA from 1 species